rnacentral:rRNA from 1 species
UACGUAGGGUGCGAGCGUUGUCCGGAAUUAUUGGGCGUAAAGAGCUUGUAGGUGGCUCGUCGCGUCGGGAGUGAAAACCCGCGGCUUAACCGCGGGCCUGCUUUCGAUACGGGCGGGCUAGAGUUCGGCAGGGGAGACUGGAAUUCCUGGUGUAGCGGUGAAAUGCGCAGAUAUCAGGAGGAACACCGGUGGCGAAGGCGGGUCUCUGGGCCGAUAUUGACGCUGAGGAGCGAAAGCGUGGGGAGCAAACAGG